rnacentral:rRNA from 1 species
GAUGAACGCUAGCUACAGGCUUAACACAUGCAAGUCGAGGGGAAACGACAUCGAAAGCUUGCUUUUGAUGGGCGUCGACCGGCGCACGGGUGAGUAACGCGUAUCCAACCUGCCCACCACUUGGGGAUAACUUUGCGAAAGUAAGACUAAUACCCAAUGACGUCUCUAGAAGACAUCUGAAAGAGAUUAAAGAUUUAUCGGUGAUGGAUGGGGAUGCGUCUGAUUAGCUUGUUGGCGGGGUAACGGCGCACCAAGGCGACGAUCAGUAGGGGUGCUGAGAGGAAGGUCCCCCACAUUGGAACUGAGACACGGUCCAAACUCCUACGGGAGGCAGCAGUGAGGAAUAUUGGUCAAUGGACGAGAGUCUGAACCAGCCAAGUAGCGUGCAGGAUGACGGCCCUAUGGGUUGUAAACUGCUUUUAUAAGGGAAUAAAGUGAGAGUCGUGACUCUUUUUGCAUGUACCUUAUGAAUAAGGACCGGCUAAUUCCGUGCCAGCCGCCGCCGUAA